UAGCGAUACGUUUCACUGGGGUUGUGAAAAGGGCCAACCUUGUUGGCGUAUAGAGGAACAGGGUCACCCUCCUUGUAUCGGUGGUCGGAGGCGUCCGAUCUGACGUGAGUUACAGAAGGGGCAACUAGAACGGCAAGGAGGAAGAGGAGGAGAGUGUUAAAGGGAUUGUCCAUGGUUGUUGGUUUAGCUUCUCUCCUCUUCGUUCUUAUGGAAGUAACAGCACAGAGGAUCUAAUAAGAGAAGAGCAAGGGCUUUAUUUACCAUUACUUGAAAAUCACUCAAGAUCGUUCGGCUUUAGCUUUCACGCUCUACUUAUUUCCGAUCCCCAGACAAGAUCGG
rnacentral:misc_RNA from 1 species